rnacentral:rRNA from 3 species
UGGGGAAUAUUGCACAAUGGGGGAAACCCUGAUGCAGCCAUGCCGCGUGUGUGAAGAAGGCCUUCGGGUUGUAAAGCACUUUCAGCGAGGAGGAAAGGUCAGUAGCUAAUAUCUGCUGGCUGUGACGUUACUCGCAGAAGAAGCACCGGCUAACUCCGUGCCAGCAGCCGCGGUAAUACGGAGGGUGCAAGCGUUAAUCGGAAUUACUGGGCGUAAAGCGCACGCAGGCGGUUGGAUAAGUUAGAUGUGAAAGCCCCGGGCUCAACCUGGGAAUUGCAUUUAAAACUGUCCAGCUAGAGUCUUGUAGAGGGGGGUAGAAUUCCAGGUGUAGCGGUGAAAUGCGUAGAGAUCUGGAGGAAUACCGGUGGCGAAGGCGGCCCCCUGGACAAAGACUGACGCUCAGGUGCGAAAGCGUGGGGAGCAAACAGG